GGUCUAAUAUAGGAAAAUAACAUGGUCAACGUAGAUAGUAAAAAUCAGUAAAAUGUAUAAAAUAACUCAGCUCGACGGCAGAGGAGGGCAGCAGGAGUCUUCCUGUUUAAAAAACACCCCAAGCUACCAUGGUAUCUCCACCAGGUGUUAAAAAGUGGGGCAUGCCUGUAUGGUGGCUCCAAGGUUAAUAAAAUAAAUUGAAAUAAUUAUUAUAAUUAUAGAUAAGAGAUUUUUAAAAAAUGUUUAAAAUUCAUAAUACAUGCAGAAUAAUGGAAUUCUAUAGGUCCCACUUUAUAUUUCAUUAAUGGGACCGUUGGUAAAAACACCAACUAAUAAGUCAAUCCAUAAUUCAAUAAAUAAAUAUAUAGACGUAAAAGGAUAGUAUAAAACUUGAUAAAAGGUUAAUAAAACACCACACACAUCAGGUUAAUAAAAAAAGGGGGGGGGGAGCAAAUAUUUAAUAUGAAUUGUUAAACAAACACAGGAGAGGAACAUAUGAAAUCCACAAAAGUUCAGGUUAAAUAGUAAAAAGGAAGCUGCACUGCAACACAACAACAGCUUGUAGGCGAGACACCACGAGCGGCACUACGGGUCCAUAAAAGCAGGUUUAAAAAGUAGAAUUAUUCUUUUAAUAUUUUUUAUUUAGUCCGUACGGAUCUAUGGUUUUUAAGUCUGUGUAUCCACUUUUUCUCCGCCGCCGAAUGUGCCGCUGACCUCCGAUUUAAUUCUUCUAAGGAAGCGCUUCACUUCUCAGCGCACUAAAAAGAGUUUGGGUGGACUCCUCCUGCACAUGCUCCAGGAAGGUGCAGGUCCUAUUGAAGCAGAUCUGCUGGGACUUAAUCAGACCCCUGUACGUACGUUCAGGAUGGAAGCUGAUGUUUUCUGCAGUAGUCCGUGGUGGUUGGUGUCUUUGAAAUAGACUUUAGUUGCCAGUGUCUUGUUAGGGCCGCUGGAGUCGCAGAAGAAGAACCGUGUGUCCAGAAAUUCCACUGAAAGUUGAAAGAAUGUUUCAGUUUUAUUUUAGGAUCUGAAAGAAGGUUAAAAAUUCGCUCUCAGAUCCGUCCCAGAGACCAAUGAUAACAUCGAGGUAACUGUGAUAUAGGAGUGGUUGUUCGGUGAUCAUGUGAAAAGCCGUUUGUUCUCAGUCUGCUAAGAAAUUAUCGGCGUAAGAAGGUGAGUAUUUCCAGCCCGUGGCACAACUGCACAGCUGGAGAUAGUGAUUACUGUUACAAGUAAAGUCGUUGCAGUUCCCUGUGGGGCGGACAGGUAAAAAAACACAGGCUCCGCCCCUACGUUCCGUAAAGGUGAUCCGUUAAUUUGAGCCUCCUACGGAAGACGUAGAGGUCCCACCUCAGCUCCGGUUGGGUUGGAGGUUUGGAUGUGGGAAGGAAGAGUGUCAGAGGCAAAAUCCUUCUUCCAGAAAGUGUUUAGGAGUGCAUUGCGCGCCAUUUGGAAACUGAGAAAAAACUUAUUCUGGACAGGUGAGUGUUAACUGCACUAUCUCAUUUGUGUAGUUGGAAGCGAAGGGGUAAGUAGAAGCACAAUCAGUCAUUGUUGUGUUAACAUCGCUCUUUGUCUGUCUACAUGGAUUUUUGUUCAUCAAAGAAGAUUUGAAAGGAGACAAAGAUGAGUGAUAACAACAAUCAAUCCUGGGCGCCUCGGGCCUCUGGUGCCGGGGCACCUCUGCGCCCUCGCACUGCUGGUACCCAGCCACCUCCCCUCCCUCGGACCUCCGGUGCCCCACCACCAGUGCGCCGCCGGGCACCUCGGCGCCCUCCUGCCUCCACUGCCCCGGGCAACAUGCGGCAGGAGGAGGAAUGGCUCCUCCAGGCUGUUGAGCCUCUGCUGGAGCAGGAGGCGACUUCGCUCCAGAUACGUCAGCAACAUCCUGGAGAUGUAGGGGAAGGGAGUGAGCCGUCCCCCCCUUCCCUCCCGAAGAUCUCAAGGAGGAAUAAGUGAAUCAGUGUUUCCAGGUUUGUUUGUCAUUGUUCAGUGUUCUAAUAAAAGUUGUUC